rnacentral:lncRNA from 1 species
AUUUGAAAAACAUGUACAGACACACUAAGGUUGUGGUCCUCGACAAUGAGAAAAAUGGUAGAAAAUUAGAAUUGAAUGAAUAAGUCUGCUUAAAACUUAGUAUUUAGGUUAUGGUCUUUGACUAUGAGCAAAAAAAUACUGAUGAAUGAGAUAAACAUGUCUGCCUUAUGUGUGCCACAACCUGGAAUAUUUGUUGAAUUUACACCGACAC